ACGACUGCUCGGAGAAAGCUUUUCUCUUUUUUCAUCUCGAACGGCUGAAAAAUCGCAAGGCGUCGCCAGUGAUCGAGGCCCGCGAUAACGCGCUCUACGCGUCGUCCACGUCGAAUUAGAAUAAUAACGAUGGACGGUUGUCGUUGGCCGGGCAGGAAGUGAUAAAGAUUACGUUCAGCGACCCGGCCGCGUGCGUGACGCCUCGUGAACGCGCGCGAUUUUCACGGAAAAGGGCCGCCACGGAUGCGGCAGCAUAUUCCAAGGAGCAAGAAAAGAAUACGACACACUGAGUCACGUGCGAACCAGUCCCUCCCACUUGCGGACGCGGUGCCGCGGAUUUCAGUGCACUGAAAAUCGUAACAUCGCCAACCUCUGGCAGCUCCGCUUCCUCAAACGCCUCGUCCUUUCUUCUUCGUUGGCGAUCGAACAUCGCCGAGUAUCGUCGAGAGGAGAUCGGCAUCGGGAUCCAGAUCGAAGAUACAACCUCGGAGGUUAUCCCGCAGCAGGAUUUCAUGCGAACGCAGACCAAUUGCGUCACGGUGAAUGCCGAUGGACGCGGGGGAUCGCGAGUGAAACGAGGAUCGGCAAGAUCGGCAAGAUCGGCAAGAUCGGGAAAAUCGGGAAAAUCGGCGAGCAACGAACGGUGCCGCCUCGGAGAACCAUAGACGCGCGUGUUGAUCGGCGCCCUGUGCGGUGCAGAGCCGCGUACGGCCCUGGUGCACGUUUUCGCCGGCACGGCACUUGCGAAAAAUUCAGCUGUGCCGUGCAGCCGAGUUAAUCAGGAAGCACACACGUUUUUCCACGACACGCGCGGAGCACACGAGAUUCGACUAGCGACUAGCGACCGGCGACCACAGUGUCUCGUCCUCGGCGUUAGCGUCGUCGUGUGGAACCGCGAACGAGUGUGUGAUCGGAACGAUGCACGCGGCGAUCAUCGGUGCUCGUCAGCCGAGAGAUCUUUGAAAGAAAACGGCACAAAGUGGGAAUAAUCGACGCGUUGUGUGUACCAUCGGGCGAACAAUUCUUUACACGCGUCAUCCAUCGUUUCGCGGAGGUGUUUCGUCCGAUCUCUUUUAUCCACCGCCUCUCAACGAGGCGGCAUUUUCGUCGGGGUGAUUGGUGCGCGAGUGAGUGAAACGAGAAAAACUGACCGGUCUCGCGAAUUAGUGUCGGAUGAACUGGAAACACCGUUCGUACGAAGUGAAAGAGGAUGGUGACGAGGACGACGACGACGACGACGACGACGACGACAAAAGCGGCUGCGGAAACGGCGGCGGCGGCGGCGGCGGCGGCGACGACAACACCGGCGACGACGACGACGACGACGAAGACGAAGACGACGACGACGACGACGACGACGACGACGACGAAGACGAAGACGAAGACGACGACGACGACGACGACGACGACGACGAAGACGAAGACGACGGUGGCGUGUACGAGUACGAGCAUGAUCGGGACGACGAUGUCGCGAGGCUGGUAGAUCGAAGAUCCACUAGACACGAGUUUAGGUUCAGACGCGUCGCACUGUGUUGUUAUGUGUUGUCAUAGUUAUUUCAUUGAAAAAUUAAUUUCACCGUUUUCGAAACACGCACCGAUUUCUGUCUGUGAAACACAAAGUCUGAACAACUCCUCUUAAGUUUCUGCCGAAACCGGACUUGAUUAUUUAGACAAAGCUUUCGUUCGAACGUUCCUCAUUUCGAAAUUUCAACAAGUAAGAAGAAGACGACGAACAAACGGAAGAAGAAGAAGAAAAAGAGAAGAAACAGAGGAAAUAGGUGAAGAGGAAAAGGGAUAACGAAGAAAAAAAAAAUUCCAAAAAAGCACAAAAAAAGAGAAGAAACGAAAUUAAACAAAAAAAAAAAAAAAAGCAUUGCCUUAAGAAAGAAGAGUAUACCUACACUGUCGAAGGAACAAGCAAGAAACAGAAGAAACACACAGGGGGGAAAAAGAAUAAUAAAAAAAAAAAAUAACAAAAAAACACUUUAGACGCCUAACAAAGUAAAUUGUAAAGAUAUGACUAAAGUAUAUUUUUAACAAGUUUUGAGAAACUUUAGAUUUUAAACGUAAAUUUUAAAAGCGAAAAAUGAAAAAAAACCAUAAAAUUCUUAAUAACUAAAAAUGUGAUCUAAAAGUCGUUGCUACCAAGAGAAGCCUUAUGUCCUUGUUUCAAUUAGUUCGGUUCCAAACCUUCGAGCGGGAGACGCGUUGCAGCAAGAGAUUCCCGCGCAGGAGAGGAAGACUGGACAAAGCGGAAGAAGCAGAAUAAGACGAGCAAAGCAGAAGAAGCGGAGGAACACAGGAGUAAAAGAAGAGCGAAAGCGAGACGCGUAGGAGCGGGGUUGCGACGGAAGUGAUUCGAUAACGAAAAA